UCACAGCACCGCAUAUGGACGCUGUGAGAGCCUCAGCGUGAGUCCUCAGACCCCCCCCCCUUUGUCCUCAUGGCCUGGGUCUUCGCACUGGGCUGCAUAUUCCAAGUUCGUGCUCUGAACUUGGAGCUUGAGUAAGCGUGGGGGCACUAGGCCAGCUGGAAGUGCAGAGCUGAGAUUGCUGCUCCGGCAAAGGCCUCCUAUUUCUCACCUGUUACUUGAGAUUAAACACCUCGGGAAAUCCAGGCAACCUGAUGUUCAGCUGCUUAGUACAACCAGAUUCUAAAUUCAACUUCCAAUCCUUUAUGGACAAAAGCAGAUUCCAUUGCGGGUGACCUGGAAAGUCUCCAAAGCAGAAGGGCAGAAGGGGAUAUGAUCUAUCUUGGUGAAAUUCCAUGAGACCUGAAAAGAAUAUUUAUUCUACAAUUGUUGGGAAAAUACCAUUUCAGUCAUGUCAGUUGAUAGUCUUGUUCAGAUCAUCUAUCAAUUAAUGCUCUCAUUAAGGAAGGGCAAGAUGAAGGCCCGCACAGCUGGGCCAUUGCUGAGAAGCACCAUGCGGAGGUGCUGCUACCCCUGGGGCUUCACCUCUCUGGACGACCUUGGAGGGUGAUGGUGGUUCCGAGGCUGUGACGGAAGUUGCGC